rnacentral:lncRNA from 1 species
AAUCCUAGACCCUAGACUCCAGUCACUAGUUGGGAUCCAAGCAGAGUACUAAGGGUAUGCUAACAGCUAGGUUUAAUUAUGUUGAGGCUUGAGGUGUUCUUAGAAUUAUUUAGCGUGUCAGGUUGAGCGUAUGCAAGCGAGCCACGCCAAGCUACGCACAUGACUGACAUGAGAGGGGGAGGACAUGCUACAUGGGGCCAAGCAUAUGGGUGACCUAUCAAGCCUCUAGACACACCUCUUUGGCCUAGUUUUAAAAAAGGGCAGUGAGAUUGUAAGGUGAUUUAAGUUUCAGGGUUCAAGUGAGAGCCGCGGGAGGGUGACACUCUGUCUACUCGUGUUAGGAGGCUCCCAAGGAGGUGGCACGAACUUGCCACGUGGAGCUAAAUAUGGUUGUUUCUACAUUAUCCCAGUGUGCAUACUUCCCGCACAAAUAAGAGAGCCCGUGCAUAUUUCUCAUGCGUUGGGCUGCGUACGUUUGUAUGUGGGGACCCAACUAAGCAAAUUUUGAAGGAGAUCGAGGCCGCAUCUAAUAGUGGGAGUUCAUUCCCUAGAGUUUCAUUUAAGUUUCAUCUUUCAAAUAUCAGAUUGUGGCGAUUUUCAUUCGUUCUUCCAUACAUGGCUUUCAUCUAAGGAUACGAUACAUCAAUGCUUGAGGUCUUCAAGAACAAGGAUUUUGUGCUCAAUGGGGAUGCUAAAAUUUUCCCGCAAUCACUAGCAACCCUUAAUAUGGUCAACCACAACAAGGCAUUGGUCAAACUAUGGUCUCUUUGUGAGCACUAGCUCUCAAAUCGUUAUUUGACUGGGGAGAAAAUAGCCCCCUGCUUGAAGACGUGAUGGAGCUGAACCGUUGGUUGGCACUCAAACAAAAUACUUCACACGCGUCCGCAUAGAAAAACAAAGAGCUUACUGGAUCGGUGGAAGAAUGAGCCCAAGGUACCUCAGGUAUCGUCGUCUAAGUAGUUGUGACCCUGCCAACCAGUGGACUUUUAGGAUGUUAGCUCUCUAUAUCUUGUGAACCCCAAUUAUUGCACGAUAUCAUGAGAAGAUAGGAAGGGUUUCCUUGCAUGCCAUCCAUGUCACAGUAACUAUCAUCAAGGGUCAGCAGUGCGGCGAGCACAUGGUUUGGCAUGGUUCAGAUCAUCCCACAACAGAAAUACUAAAUGAACUAAACCUUCAAUUCAGAACUUGCACAGAAACCUAGUGAAACUGAACAACACCAAACCCGAGAUACUCAAAUCAGUUCAUUUUCAAUGCAAUUUUGAACUUUUAAAGCACGUUUUAGCACAAAAGUAUAGUUCUAGAGGUCAUAUUUGGAGUUUGCAAGAUCACUAAACCAACAGCCCAACAGUCAAUCAGCAGGAACUCUUCUGUCCCAAGCAAUGCAGGAUUUAUAUUUUCUAUUUAAUUCUCUGAAGCCAUCUCUCCUCUCACUCUCUCUCAGGCCCCACAAGGUAGAUAGUCCCCCAAAGGAGUCAGGCCACUGCAUUUUACAAGUUGGAUUUGGUUUGGGUCCCACGUUGGUUCAGUUUUUUUUUUAAUUCCCAAUCUUGGACGAACCUGAGGAAGUUGUUCUCAAAUAUUUUUAUGGGCUUGAGAUCAACUGUGGGAGCAAAGAACCAAAUUCAACGUCACUGGGACAAAUCACGCCAUUAGCAGUAUCCAGCGAAUGGGAUGAAAUCUCUCAAUUUUUCAUAGGUUUUAUGUACUGAAAUUUCUUACCACAACAAAAUUUCAACCUAGGGUGUCCCAUGGAUUGGACUAUUGGACAAAUUAAUGUACCAUCUACUUCAAAUUUGGCAAACAAAAUACGCUUAGAUAGCACAUAUAGUUGAGGUUGGAUGGUUGGUAGAAUGUGAAUCACAGAAGCUGCAUGACAACAGUAAGUUUGACACUAGGUAUAAAUUGACUUCAGCCACACACACACACAAAAAAAACAUCUAUAUAUGUUUUACCCUAUCGUUAUAAAUACGAUCAUCGAGUUCGGUCAUUGUGUCACCUCUAUUAUGGUCUACGACCACAUUCCUCCAUAGGGCCUCAAAGUAGCAUAUCAACGGGUUAGAAUGUUAGGUUAGCACAAUCGAGUGUUCGAUACUUUUCCUGUUUUCCAUAAGCUCGAACCCCAAAGCAACACCCCCAGGUAUCGUCAUCUACUCGUGGAUUUACAAGAUAUAGAGAGGCAACCUUAAGACAACAUCAAUACCACCUUUUUUCCUCUUUUUGAUUUUGUUAAUCGAUAGAAGGUUCAUUAGAAGCACUUCCUACCCUGAAACUUUGACAUUGAAUUAAAUGCUUGCAGUGAGGAGUGUCUCUCAGCUCGUUUGUCUAGGACGAUGACUCGUGUCUUGGUGGUUGAUGAUUUCACGCCUUGUUCGUACAUAGAGGAGCACUAAUGUGUUACUACUUUCUAAAUUUGCUAGGGGAUAAUAAGCUGGAUUUCUUCAUAUCAUGAGCUCUCCUCAUUGGAUAAUAAGCUAUUAUGAAUUUAUGAUGAUGAUGGUUUACGUACUUCAGUGAUUGUACCUACAGGGGAUAGUGAUGACAUUCCACAGUGGGUGGUCCAUAAGUUUGGGUAUGACCAGUUUGCUACAAGGCAUCCUCCCAAGAUCAUGUCAUGGACGCCACCAAAACCUAUCCAAAUGGGGACAUUUGUGGAGAAGUUUGAUAGGCUAGGAGUGGUACACCUACCUGAGAAUGCAAGGAAGGAAUCCCUUCAGAGCUUAUUUGAACACAGAAGUGGAUUGUGUUCAGUUUGGCUGAGAACAGUACUCUCUUCCUUCAACAAUGGUUUAGUUAGAAUAAAAGAGUAUUCCCUUAAGACCAACAGAUUGCAGUUAAAUAUAUUAUAUCUUGAAUGAUUCCUAGCCAGUAGCCACAACUCGAAGUCUUUAACAGUCCAAGAAUGUUAGAUCCUAAACUACUGCCACACAAGCCACAUCAAGUUUAUCUGCAUAUCGAAAAAAUAUUUUUUCUGUGCUGGUAAUUCCUCUAUGUAGAAGGGAAAUUCACCAAAUACAGGUCAACAGAGGUCUUGAAAAAGUCCUGAAACUUCUACCAAGCUUUGCAAAAUUAGAAUUCACUUUUGCCAUCACUAAGGUAAACAAGAUCAAAACUCAAAUUGGUUUGGUUUUGUAUUAUAUUGCACCAAGCUCUCUGUAUAAAGCCAUGUUAACCCUUGUAAAUUUCUUAAUUGAAUAUAAUAUAUCUGCAAGAAACCAAAUAAACAGUACCAGCAAAAAACCUAUGUCACGCAGACUCUUCUAAAAGCACAAAGUACCAGCCGGUGUCGAACACUCAACGCUUGUGUACACACACGAAAUGUGUCUCACAUUUUUAAUUGGGCAUUCACAUAGAAAGCAUACUUACUAAUUAAUUCAGCCAUACUGUAGAUGAGAACUAAAGCUACAACACACUCAAAUUACGCAUACAAUGCUUUUGGACACUUUGUGAACAUCAUUUACUGUAGAAAAUAAAAGAAAUGUAUCAAGGAAUAGAAAUCGUUUACCAUGUCCCCACAUCCUUGACAUAGGAAUAACACAAAUCUGAUACUUAGACAUAUAUCUUGUCCCCGACCCCACCCCAACUCUAUUUAACAUUGCUAAAAAACAAUAACCAACCAAAGAAAUUGAAGACAAACUACAUAAACCAACAACAAAAUAAAUAAAUUAGGUGCAUUGAAAGCAACCACAGCUAAUUUUAUAAGUAGAUGCAUAGUGAACCCCUUACAAAAAAUUAAAAAUAUAGCACCCCGAACCAUACAAUAUCCAUGCAAUCAGUCUCAUACAUCAAACCACAUGAGAAAUGAACAAAGCCCCAAGUGAAUCUAGAAUUUUCCCUAAUUUAAAAAUUUUAACAAAACACUAAUAUUCCUUGAACAGAAAAAAUAAUCAUUAAAUACUUACUAAAACAACUUAAAUCAUAAAAAUAUGACAAAUUCCUGGAGCAUACAUAUUCAUGCAUACUCCAUAAAACUAGGCAUUAAUGAAGAAUUGUUGAGCAUUGUCAACAAUAUUUCUGGAGCAUGAACGUAUAAAUGGCAUAACAUAUAAAAUCACAAACAUAUAAAUUGAAUCUAAAAAUUAUCACAAAAAAAUCGUUAUUAGCAAAGUAGAAUCGAGACAGUGACAGACGCCUUGGAGUUCGUCGAGAGAGAGAGAGUGACCGAGUGAGGGAGAGCUAGUGAGCGAGAGAGAAAAUAUCAGAACGGAAAUGUUCUCUAUACAUAUAUUACAACUGUUUUUGAAUCUUCUAAAAUAUCGCUCGCUAUAUACGGUUAAAAUCCAUUUAAAUUAAUUUAAUAGUUGUUAUUUUAUUUAAAAUUAUUUUUUUUUCAAAAAAUAUUAUUUUUUUCUUCUUAAAAGUGUGGAAUUCACAUAAAUUAUGAUCCAAUGACAAAAAAAUCUCUAAAAUUGAACAUAUUUUUUACCAAUUAGAUAUAUUUUAGUAAGAUCCACACCCAAAAAAAUUAAAACACCUUUUUUUUUCCCUUUAUUUCUCCCAAACUAGCAAUAUUUUUUUUAAAUCAUUAUAAUUUUUAAUUUAUUUUUUAUUUUAUAAUAAUUUAUCUCUUCGUAUAUACAUACAAUGUAUGUUUUUUCUCUGAUAUUUAAUAUAUUUAUAUGCUUUUUAAGUUUUAGAAACUCUAACGAAUAUGUCUAAAUAUGAUUUUUUUUUUUAAAAAUUGUUGUCCAUGGUAGGAUAAUUACUAGUCCUAAAUAUAAGACAACGAAAUAUUUUUUAAAUCUUCUAACUUAUUUUUUCAGCUAUCUAUGGUUGUUUUUUUUGUAAAUCUAUUUUAGUAAUGAAGGUUUGAGAUUUCUUGAAGACUAUUUUUUUUUUUUAAAUGUAAUUUUCUUAUUCUCAAAAACAAUGGUGGAGUCCACACACGUGAUCCAAUGGCCAAAAAAUCUCUAAAUGUAUGCAUAUUUUUUACCCAUUGGAUCAUUUUUUAUUAGUACUCACAAAAAAAAAACUAAAAUACUCAUUCCUUUCUCCCUCAUUUU